rnacentral:misc_RNA from 1 species
GAUGAAGAACGCAGCGAAAUGCGAUAACUAAUGUGAAUUGCAGAAUUCCGUGAAUCAUCGAGUCUUUGAACGCACAUUGCGCCCCCUGGUAUUCCGGGGGGCAUGCCUGUCCGAGCGUCAUUGCUGCCCAUCAAGCACGGCUUGUGGGUUGGGUCCUCGUCCCCCCCGGGGGACGUGCCCGAAAGGCAGCGGCGGCACCGCGUCCGGUCCUCGAGCGUAUGGGGCUUUGUCACCCGCUCUGCAGGCCCGGCCGGCGCUGGCCGACGCGAAAGCAACCAUUUUUUCUCCAGGUUGACCUCGGAUCAGGUAGGGAUACCCGCUGAACUUAAGCAUAUCAAUAAGCGGAGGA